AUUAAAACGCUGGCGGCAUGCCUUACACAUGCAAGUCGAACGGCAGCACGGGGGCAACCCUGGUGGCGAGUGGCGGACGGGUGAGUAAAGCAUCGGAACGUAUCCUGGAGUGGGGGAUAACGUAGCGAAAGUUACGCUAAUACCGCAUAUUCUGUGAGCAGGAAAGCAGGGGAUCGCAAGACCUUGCGCUCUGGGAGCGGCCGAUGUCGGAUUAGCUAGUUGGUGGGGUAGAGGCCUACCAAGGCGACGAUCAGUAGCCGGCCUGAGAGGGUGAACGGCCACACUGGGACUGAGACACGGCCCAGACUCCUACGGGAGGCAGCAGUGGGGAAUAUUGCGCAAGUGGGGGAAACCCUGACGCAGCGACGCCGCGUGAGCGAAGAAGGCCUUAGGGUCGUAAAGCUCUGUUUUAGGGGACGAAUGUCGAGAGCAGUAAUAUGGUUCUCGAAUGACGGUACCCUAAGGAGGAACGCCCCGGACUAACUACGUGCCAGCGACGCCGCGGUAACG
rnacentral:rRNA from 1 species